GGGAGUAGGAGGGUCGCUGACAGUGUACGACACUGAGGAAAGUCCCCUCUCCUCGAUGCAUGUGGUCCGGCGUAAGCCGGAGGCCCGGGAGGGUCAGCUCUGCAACAGAAACGAACCGAGUCAGGCGCACUAUGAUCCCGAAGGGGUGAGAUUUCCUGAACUCGGCUGGAACGAGCAUCUCCGCAGGAGCAAGUCCAAGCAGGCCCGUAACGCAUCAACAGGGCCGGGUAGGAUGCAAAGUUGAAUGCGACUAACCGAAAGGCGAACAGAAAGGGGCUUACUCCCUACUCCC
rnacentral:RNase_P_RNA from 1 species